GUACUUUACCUGUUGCUUCCACAGAGCAUGGCCUCGUGUCAUACGGUGGUGCCCAUUCAGGGCAUUACCGGUCGUCUCUGUGAAAGGUAUACAUCAAACUAGUUUAUUAAUUGCCUUCUGUCUGAAUGAAUAAAUAUAAAUUUUAAAACUUUCAACAACGGAUCUCUUGGUUCUCGCAUCGAUGAAGAACGCAGCGAAAUGCGAUAAGUAGUGUGAAUUGCAGAAUUCAGUGAAUCAUCGAAUCUUUGAACGCACAUUGCGCCUCCUGGUAUUCCGGGAGGCAUGCCUGUUCGAGCGUCAUUAUAGCCACUCAAGCCACUGUGCUUGGUCAUGGGGAAUGCAUUCGUCCUGUACGUGUACAUCUUCAAAAUAUAAUGGCUGAUUGAUCUAAGGAACCCAGCGUAGUAAUAUCGAAAAUCUCGCUUGGAUCUAGGAGCAAAUCACGCCUUCAACCCCCAAAUUCUUUAAUGGUUGACCUCGGAUCAGGUAGGGAUACCCGC
rnacentral:rRNA from 1 species